rnacentral:lncRNA from 1 species
GUGAAUAGCAGCCGCAGUAUGUGACAGUAAGCUGAUAGCUCUGUUCACUGUGUUUCUGUAAUCUGACAGACAGACUGACACAGCAGGACUGUGUAAUUCAGCCAAGUCAGUACAAGUCUCCUCCGGCCCCUGAGCCCUCUCCCUGCGUCUCUGCACCCUCACAGCUGAGAGGACGGGACGGAUGGGGCGGACAGACGCCUUUUGAUGCCUUUCAAGUCGACCAAAUGUGCUUUCCGGCUGCCAUGCACUCUAACAGAAAGGAGUGUUGAGCUGCCCCUGCACACCCCGAGGACAGAAACCCUGCACUGUACGUCCAGAUUCAAACACCACCAACGCAGCAGCGCCACUACCGGGGGGAGCGGCAUGGAUCACAUAUUCCCACCAGAACCUUAAACAGCACGCCUCCACCUGUGCAGCUGCUGUUAGGAAGCAGCUCGGGGUUUAAUGUAUUUCCACAUGAAUAACAUUAUCACACCCGACAGGCUGGUGGAGGAGGCAGCCAUGUGAUCACUCAACAACCUGCAGGGAACGAGAGCUUUGUACGUGAGCAAACUGAAGUAUGUGAUGUGCUACUGAGUCAAGCUGCUAAACUGGAAGCUUCCAGCUGAAGAGUCCUUAAACAAUACCCACAAGCCCCGGGGGAGAGGAGACUAUCACCACAGGGUUUAAUAAACACCACUUUACACACUGCUACUGUUUGGUGUCUUCUCUGUGUGUGUCUGAGGAGGUGUGGUGGUUACAGGACAAGUCUGGACAUGAUCAUCACCAAAUCACUUCCCCGUUCCCUUCACCACCCCCCCCCCCCACACUCUCCUUUUAAAAGCAAACCACAGUCUUGCUCUGGAGGGUUCCAUGACAA